rnacentral:rRNA from 1 species
GGGUUGUGAGGUUAAGCGACUAAGCGUACACGGUGGAUGCCCUGGCAGUCAGAGGCGAUGAAGGACGUGCUAAUCUGCGAUAAGCGUCGGUAAGGUGAUAUGAACCGUUAUAACCGGCGAUUUCCGAAUGGGGAAACCCAGUGUGAUUCGUCACACUAUCAUUAACUGAAUCCAUAGGUUAAUGAGGCGAACCGGGGGAACUGAAACAUCUAAGUACCCCGAGGAAAAGAAAUCAACCGAGAUUCCCCCAGUAGCGGCGAGCGAACGGGGAGCAGCCCAGAGCCUGAAUCAGUGUGUGUGUUAGUGGAAGCGUCUGGAAAGGCGCGCGAUACAGGGUGACAGCCCCGUACACAAAAAUGCACAUGCUGUGAGCUCGAUGAGUAGGGCGGGACACGUGGUAUCCUGUCUGAAUAUGGGGGGACCAUCCUCCAAGGCUAAAUACUCCUGACUGACCGAUAGUGAACCAGUACCGUGAGGGAAAGGCGAAAAGAACCCCGGCGAGGGGAGUGAAAAAGAACCUGAAACCGUGUACGUACAAGCAGUGGGAGCACAGAGCAAUCUGUGUGACUGCGUACCUUUUGUAUAAUGGGUCAGCGACUUAUAUUCUGUAGCAAGGUUAACCGAAUAGGGGAGCCGAAGGGAAACCGAGUCUUAACUGGGCGUUAAGUUGCAGGGUAUAGACCCGAAACCCGGUGAUCUAGCCAUGGGCAGGUUGAAGGUUGGGUAACACUAACUGGAGGACCGAACCGACUAAUGUUGAAAAAUUAGCGGAUGACUUGUGGCUGGGGGUGAAAGGCCAAUCAAACCGGGAGAUAGCUGGUUCUCCCCGAAAGCUAUUUAGGUAGCGCCUCGUGAAUUCAUCUCCGGGGGUAGAGCACUGUUUCGGCAAGGGGGUCAUCCCGACUUACCAACCCGAUGCAAACUGCGAAUACCGGAGAAUGUUAUCACGGGAGACACACGGCGGGUGCUAACGUCCGUCGUGAAGAGGGAAACAACCCAGACCGCCAGCUAAGGUCCCAAAGUCAUGGUUAAGUGGGAAACGAUGUGGGAAGGCCCAGACAGCCAGGAUGUUGGCUUAGAAGCAGCCAUCAUUUAAAGAAAGCGUAAUAGCUCACUGGUCGAGUCGGCCUGCGCGGAAGAUGUAACGGGGCUAAACCAUGCACCGAAGCUGCGGCAGCGACGCUGAUGCGUUGUUGGGUAGGGGAGCGUUCUGUAAGCCUGCGAAGGUGUGCUGUGAGGCAUGCUGGAGGUAUCAGAAGUGCGAAUGCUGACAUAAGUAACGAUAAAGCGGGUGAAAAGCCCGCUCGCCGGAAGACCAAGGGUUCCUGUCCAACGUUAAUCGGGGCAGGGUGAGUCGACCCCUAAGGCGAGGCCGAAAGGCGUAGUCGAUGGGAAACAGGUUAAUAUUCCUGUACUUGGUGUUACUGCGAAGGGGGGACGGAGAAGGCUAUGUUGGCCGGGCGACGGUUGUCCCGGUUUAAGCGUGUAGGCUGGUUUUCCAGGCAAAUCCGGAAAAUCAAGGCUGAGGCGUGAUGACGAGGCACUACGGUGCUGAAGCAACAAAUGCCCUGCUUCCAGGAAAAGCCUCUAAGCAUCAGGUAACAUCAAAUCGUACCCCAAACCGACACAGGUGGUCAGGUAGAGAAUACCAAGGCGCUUGAGAGAACUCGGGUGAAGGAACUAGGCAAAAUGGUGCCGUAACUUCGGGAGAAGGCACGCUGAUAUGUAGGUGAAGUCCCUCGCGGAUGGAGCUGAAAUCAGUCGAAGAUACCAGCUGGCUGCAACUGUUUAUUAAAAACACAGCACUGUGCAAACACGAAAGUGGACGUAUACGGUGUGACGCCUGCCCGGUGCCGGAAGGUUAAUUGAUGGGGUUAGCGCAAGCGAAGCUCUUGAUCGAAGCCCCGGUAAACGGCGGCCGUAACUAUAACGGUCCUAAGGUAGCGAAAUUCCUUGUCGGGUAAGUUCCGACCUGCACGAAUGGCGUAAUGAUGGCCAGGCUGUCUCCACCCGAGACUCAGUGAAAUUGAACUCGCUGUGAAGAUGCAGUGUACCCGCGGCAAGACGGAAAGACCCCGUGAACCUUUACUAUAGCUUGACACUGAACAUUGAGCCUUGAUGUGUAGGAUAGGUGGGAGGCUUUGAAGUGUGGACGCCAGUCUGCAUGGAGCCGACCUUGAAAUACCACCCUUUAAUGUUUGAUGUUCUAACGUGGACCCGUAAUCCGGGUUGCGGACAGUGUCUGGUGGGUAGUUUGACUGGGGCGGUCUCCUCCUAAAGAGUAACGGAGGAGCACGAAGGUUGGCUAAUCCUGGUCGGACAUCAGGAGGUUAGUGCAAUGGCAUAAGCCAGCUUGACUGCGAGCGUGACGGCGCGAGCAGGUGCGAAAGCAGGUCAUAGUGAUCCGGUGGUUCUGAAUGGAAGGGCCAUCGCUCAACGGAUAAAAGGUACUCCGGGGAUAACAGGCUGAUACCGCCCAAGAGUUCAUAUCGACGGCGGUGUUUGGCACCUCGAUGUCGGCUCAUCACAUCCUGGGGCUGAAGUAGGUCCCAAGGGUAUGGCUGUUCGCCAUUUAAAGUGGUACGCGAGCUGGGUUUAGAACGUCGUGAGACAGUUCGGUCCCUAUCUGCCGUGGGCGCUGGAGAAUUGAGGGGGGCUGCUCCUAGUACGAGAGGACCGGAGUGGACGCAUCACUGGUGUUCGGGUUGUCAUGCCAAUGGCACUGCCCGGUAGCUAAAUGCGGAAGAGAUAAGUGCUGAAAGCAUCUAAGCACGAAACUUGCCCCGAGAUGAGUUCUCCCUGACUCCUUGAGAGUCCUGAAGGAACGUUGAAGACGACGACGUUGAUAGGCCGGGUGUGUAAGCGCAGCGAUGCGUUGAGCUAACCGGUACUAAUGAACCGUGAGGCUUAACCUUACAACGCCGAAGGUGUUU